UCACUUUGUGUUUGAGGGGAAUAACAAAAAAAACAAAUCAGAGAGAUGCGAGAGACAAAAGUUGGUAUCCAUGGGGCGGCUCAGAUAUAAAAUGGGUUAUAAGUUUGCUUAUCAGCACAAAGAGACAGAUCUCUUCAGAGUGGUGCAUGACUUUUCUCAUCAUCGCCUA